rnacentral:tRNA from 4 species
GGGCCCAUAGCUCAGCUGGUAGAGCUCCCGGCUCAUAACCGGUUGGUCCCUGGUUCGAAUCCAGGUGGGCCCACCA